CGGCACGAGGCACUGUCAGAAAUUGUUCACUGGAUGUAUUUUUCUAUUUCUUUUAUGUUGCUUCACCUUUUAAGUUACCUUGGUAAAAGUUUGCUGCCUUCUCAUGUUUUUAAAAUSAAUGCAAUGAAUAGCAGUCUUUUUAUUUCAACCUUUUAACACUUUGUAAAGGAAAGAAGUAAUGCAAAGAACAAAAUCCCAUUCGGAAACUGAUUGUCAGUUUGGCCGCUGUGGCAGCAGCAAGUCACAUAACCUCAUUUAGUUUCUUCAUCUACAAAAUGUGGAGAAUAACCUACCUCACAGAUGUGUGUGGGAAACUGUUUAAAGGCCCUUGUUUAAAUACAAGAUUUAUCAUAUUUAAUGUAAAUCCCUUCCUUUUUUUAUAGAUAUCUUUGCUACUGAUAGGAUGAGUAUCUUGAUUUUAGGUAAGUCGUACGUGCUAAGAAUGUAGCAGUAAAAAUGUUUUAAGAUGACAAUUUCACAAAUUAUGGUGUUCUCAUUUUUAAGUGACUUUUAAAAUUUCUUGCAAAUAUCAAAUAUCCAAAUAUCACAUAUUCACAAUUUCUUAAAAUGUUGGCUGGAGCUGCCUUAAUAUACCAAAAUACGGCUUUCCCUCAAAACUGUUCACAAAUAUCUAUGGUUGUACGAUGUUUUGAAUGUUUAAUGUAAAAUUGUUGUAGAACUAUGAACUCUACACAUAGUAAUCUUGUUUUAGGAAGAAUGCUUGUGUUCAGUAUCAUGUAUGCUUAAGUAUCAUACAGUGACUUUUGAGUGCAGCAAACAAAACUGAAAGUUGACAGCCAUUUGGUUGUGUCCAUGACAAUCAUAAGAAAAUAUAAGAUUGGAUAUUAAUCAAAAAAUUUUCAAGAACAUUUUGCAUUCAUUUUUUCUUAGCCCAUCUUUGAABACAAAAUCCCAGAGACUGAUAGAUUUACCCAUUGAAGCACUUGAUUACAUAUCUGUUAAAGUAGUUUUUUUAAACCGUUGAAAUUGGGAUYGUUUUUUAUAAUUCAACUCAGGAGUAGUAGAAAAAAGACCAGAAUCCUAGUGUUUAUGUUUUUUAAUAAUUAAAGAUUCAAGAUUCAGUUUUGUUUGUUGUGUAUUUUUUUGUGAGUGUUAAAUGAUCAAUGGGAAGGAUUUAUUUUCCAGUAUCUGUGUGGUAAAGAUGUCUGCUGGAAUUACACAGCAUUUCAUAGGUACAGGUUCUCCCUAGUUAAUAUUUGCACUGUACAGACUCAUAGGUAACAAACACAAAAGAGAAAAGCACUGAUUGCUUAUAAGCUUUUUUUCACAAAAUCAAAUUAAAGUCUCUGGUUAAUUUAAAAA
rnacentral:sRNA from 1 species